UACGGAGGGUGCGAGCGUUUGUCCGGAAUCAUUGGGCGUAAAGGGCGCGUAGGUGGCGGCUUAAGCGUGCGGUGAAAGCUCGGGGCUCAACCCCGAGUCGGCCGUGCGAACUGAGUCGCUUGAGCACUGUAGAGGCAGGCGGAAUUCCGGGUGUAGCGGUGGAAUGCGUAGAGAUCCGGAAGAACACCGGUGGCGAAGGCGGCCUGCUGGGCAGUAGCUGACACUGAGGCGCGACAGCGUGGGGAGCAAACAGG
rnacentral:rRNA from 1 species